AACGAACGCUGGCGGCGCGCCUAAUACAUGCAAGUCGAGCGAGAAGACGUAGCAAUACGUUUGUAAAGCGGCGAACGGGUGAGGAAUACAUGGGUAACCUACCCUCGAGUGGGGAAUAACUAGCCGAAAGGUUAGCUAAUACCGCGUACGCUCCUUGGACUUCGGUUCAGGGAGGAAAGCGAUACCGUGGGUAUCGCGCUCUUGGAUGGGCUCAUGUCCUAUCAGCUUGUUGGNGAGGUACGGCUCACCAAGCUUCGACGGGUAGCUGGUCUGAGAGGACGAUCAGCCACACUGGCACUGCGACGACGGGCC
rnacentral:rRNA from 1 species